UACGUAGGUGGCGAGCGUUGUCCGGAUUUACUGGGCGUAAAGAGCGCGCAGGCGGCUGGUCAAGUCCGAUGUGAAAGCUCCCGGCUUAACUGGGAAAUUGCAUCGGAAACUGAUCGGCUGGAAGGUGGGAGAGGGUAGCGGAAUUCCAGGUGUAGCGGUGAAAUGCGUAGAUAUCCGGAGGAACACCGGUGGCGAAGGCGGCUUCCUGGACCGACACUGACGCUGAGGCGCGAAAGCUAGGGGAGCAAACGGG
rnacentral:rRNA from 1 species